AGAAUCAACGCUGGCGGCGUGCCUCAGACAUGCAAGUCGAACGCGAUGCUUGAGUCUUCGGACUCAGGCGUUGAGUGGCGCACGGGUGAGUAACACGUGGGCAAUCUACCUUUGGGUGGGGAAUAUCAGCUGGAAACGGCUGUUAAUACCGCAUAAAGCAAUCGAGUCUUCGGACAGUCGGUUGUUAAAGCGUGGGACCAAGCUUUCGGGCGAGGCCAUGCGCCAGAAGAGGAGCCCGCGGCGGAUUAGCUAGUUGGUGAGGUAACGGCUCACCAAGGCCCGUGAUCCGUA
rnacentral:rRNA from 1 species